rnacentral:rRNA from 1 species
AGUGAACGCUGGCGGCAGGCCUAAUACAUGCAAGUCGAACGGCAGCACAGUAAGAGCUUGCUCUUACGGGUGGCGAGUGGCGGACGGGUGAGGAAUAGAUCGGAAUCUACUUUUUCGUGGGGGACAACGUAGGGAAACAUACGCUACUACCGCAUACGACCUACGGGAGGAAGCAGGGGAUCUUCGGACCUUGCGCGAAUGAAUGAGUCGAUGUCGGAUUAGCUAGUUGGUGGGGUAAAGGCCCACCAAGGCGACGAUCCGUAGCUGGUCUGAGAGGAUGAUCGGCCACACUGGAACUGAGACACGGUCCAGACUCCUACGGGAGGCAGCAGUGGGGAAUAUUGGACAAUGGGCGCAAGCCUGAUCCAGCCAUACCGCGUGGGUGAAGAAGGCCUUCGGGUUGUAAAGCCCUUUUGUUGGGAAAGAAAAGCAGCAGGUUAAUACCCCGCUGUUCUGACGGUACCCAAAGAGUAAGCACCGGCUAACUUCGUG